rnacentral:snoRNA from 1 species
AUCCCAGAUCGACGUGCAAUUGAGUGUUUAUCUGAUUCAUGGGAGGCCGAUACAAAGGUCAAGUGAGAGUUUCGCUGAUAACACCUUCGAUGUUCUUCUGCUUCUUCUUUCUUCGUCUUAUUCACGAAGAAAGAAUGGUAGAGACGUGAUUCAGUGGGGGUGUUUCAUUAGUAAUUCUUCGUACAUUU